UGUCCAUUUUGUUCAGAAAUGGAGAGGAUCCGAACUCUCUCUCUGUCUCAUCUUCGAAUUCGAAGCAAACACAAACCCUAACUUUCGAGUUCUCUCGGUUCGUCCCAUUGCACUGAGCCACAGAGCAAUUCCGUCCACUCGAAGCAACUACGUCGCACUCGCGCCCUGGUCUCUUCAUCUUUGAUUCUCAGGUGCUUUUUUUUGCUACAUUUUCAGUUUGCAGCUAUACUUGAAGAUGUCAUCUGUUUGAAGCUGUAUAUAUAUAUAUAUAUAUAUAUAUAUAUAUAUAUAUUUUUUUUUUUUUUUUUUUUAUAUAAAUUUUUUAGUAUAUAUUGGGCCAAUUAGUGAUCCACUGGUUGGACCACUGAUCCACUGUCUCGACCCGCUCAGUGACCAGGCCGAUUUUCACAACAUUGGUUUCUUCUCUUUGCUCUCUUCGACCUGCACUUUCUCUUCCAAAAUGAACCAAACUGCCAUUGCCAACUUUGAAAAGGCAAUAGGCUGUUACUCUCCAUCGGUUCAGGAGCUUAUUGUUAUUGAUGAUGUGCUCUCCGCCAUGGUUGGCAUUGAAGGACGUUACAUCUUAAUCAAAACAAUUUGUGGAAAGAGUGAUGAUAUUACUUUCCUGGUUGAUCCGUCAAUGGAUUUGGCCCUACAGGAGUUGGCAAAACGGAUAUUCCCUCUUUGCAAGAGCUUUCUGUUGAUCAACCAGUUUGUGGAGUCAAGGUCUGAGUUCCAGAGUGGCCUGGUUAAUCAUGCCUUUUCUGCUGCACUGAGGGCACUUCUUCUCGAUUACCAGGCUUUGGUGGCACAACUCGAACACCAAUUUCGGCUUGGAAGGCUUUCCCUUCAAGGAUUGUGGUUCUACUGUCAGCCCGUGAUGAGGUCAAUGCAGGCAUUAUCCACUGUCAUACAGAAGGCUUCAGUCAACAAUAUUUCUGGUUCUGCUGUUCUUAACUUACUGUAGAGCCAGGCAAAGGCUAUGGCUGGAGACAAUGCUGUCAGGAUGAUACUGGAGAAAAUGACACAAUGUGCAAGUAGUGCUUACAUGAGCAUAUUAGAAAGAUGGGUUUACGAAGGUGUAAUAGAUGAUCCUUAUGGUGAAUUUUUCAUCGCAGAGGACAAAUCUCUUCAAAAGGAGAGUCUCACUCAAGAUUAUGAAGCUAAGUAUUGGCAACAACGUUACAGCCUCAAAGAUGGAAUUCCUAGUUUCCUUGCAAAUAUUGCAGGAGCAAUUUUGACAACAAGAAAAUAUCUAAAUGUCAUGAGAGAAUGUGGGCAUACUGUUCGGGCCCCUCCAUCAGAAAAUUCAAAACUAAUGAGUUUUGGCUCAAAUCAUCAUUAUCUUGAAUGUAUUAAGGCUGCUUAUAACUUUGCAAGCAGUGAACUCUUGAAUCUCAUUAAGGAAAAGUAUGAUCUUACAGGAAGGCUGCGUUCUAUAAAACACUACCUUCUUCUUGAUCAGGGUGAUUUCUUAGUACAUUUUAUGGAUAUUGCACGAGAUGAACUGGCUAAAAAGCCUGAUGAAGUCUCAGUUGAGAAGCUGCAGUCUCUUCUAGACCUUGCAUUGCGUACUACAGCAGCUGCAGCAGAUCCUUUUCAUGAAGGCUUAACCUGUGUUGUGGAAAGAUCUUCUCUGAUUAGAAGGUUGGGCACAUUUAAUGAUCUUGAAGUUACUCAGAGAAAUUCUGGCAACAAUGUUCUGGAGGAGCCUGUUAGCAUCACUGGCCUCGAAACAUUUUCACUUAGUUACAAGGUUCACUGGCCACUGUCUAUAGUGUUAUCACGUAAAGCCCUUACAAAGUACCAAUUACUUUUUCGAUUUCUUUUCCAUUGUAAACAUGUUGACCGUCAGUUAUGUGGAGCUUGGCAAGUGCAUCAAGGAGUUCGUGCUCUCAAUACACGUGAAACUGCUAUAUCCAGAUCAUCUCUCCUUUGCCGGAGCAUGCUUAAAUUUAUUAAUAGCCUUUUGCACUAUCUGACAUUUGAGGUUAUUGAACCCAAUUGGCAUCUGAUGUAUAACAGACUUCAGUCGGCAAAUAGCAUAGAUGAGGUUAUACAACAACAUGAUUUUUUCCUUGAUAAAUGUUUGAGAGAGUGUUUACUUCUUUUACCUGAGUUGCUGAAGAAGGUGGAGAGGCUUAAAUCCAUGUGCCUACAAUAUGCAGCAGCAACUCAAUGGCUUAUUUCUUCUUCUAUUGAAUUACAUAACCCAGAAGAACCUAUUGAUGAAUCAAUUGGCUUGAAUAAAGCCAAAGGGAAAUCAGGUCAGGUCCUGAAGUCAACCACCAGAAAUGUGGCAGUCACUGAUUCUGUUCUCAAAUUUGAGAAAGAGUUUAAUACCGAGCUUCAGAGUCUUGGAUCAAUCUUGAGUAGUAACUCCCAGGCAGAGCCAUAUCUGUCUCAUCUAGCACAAUGGCUUCUUGGUGUUAAAAAUGAAAAAAAUGGUUUAUGAUGGGUUUUAACUUGGAUUUAAGCAAUUGUGUACAAGGUAUUGUGAUUUUCAAGUAUAGGUGUUAUUGACGUUCUCAAAAGGUUGCGUUUGUACCGAUGUUUGAGAAUAAUGUUAUUUUUUUUUUCUUGAGUGUUUUCUGGUACGUUUUUGCUAAAAUUUGCUUAGCAAUUAUUUGGCCUUCGAAGGAAACAAUUAUUUGAUGAUAUAGUCGUGUCCUGUGGUUUUCAGCUUGGUAGAUAACUAGGAGUCAUUAGUUAUUUAUUGUAAAUACUGUACCGGCAAAGGUAACAUUCUAAGAUAAAAAUAUACUUUCAGUA